AGCAAUAUGGAAACUCAGGUCGAACGAGCGAUUAAAACUCCAAUGUAAGGUUGAUGCGAAGCUCGAUGAAACGGACACUUUUGUUUUGUAUAGAAGAUAUUUUUACCUUAAGGGCACCAGGAUAAAUGUGACCAUCAAUGGAACAUUUGCAUCACUGGACACCCAGAGGAGCAUGUCCGGCAAAUAUGACACGAUUUUGCUCGCUUAUCCAGGUCAACCGGAGUUUGGGUAUGAGCACCUUUUGUUUCAAGCGGCGGACAGCAGCUGUGGCGUUUUUUUGGUAGCCCUGAACGAAGCUUAUAUGUGGCUCGAAAUACGAGUGAGGAAUUCUACUGUAGACAAGCCAGACAAACUUGCGUAGAAAGGUUCCGACACUCCUUGCCGAAACUGAAGGGCAAGCGAAGACUAGUAUACAAGCAAGACUGUCAGCGAAUCCUUCCCCAAAUAAAUGAAUGACGUA